UGGACAUAUUAUCCAUAGUUUGUCUGGCAUAUCUUUUUUUCUCAUUGGAACACAGAAUUUAGGAAACUUAACCAUCACCAAGUUCCAAAUGUAUGAAUGAAGACUGUAUACCUUACAGCACAAAAGGAGUUUCAUGUAGCAAACAUCUUCUGCCUUUGAGGAAAAAAGACAUUGUCACUGGCGUGCGGAAAUGCAGCUUCAAUAGCCCAUGCUCACAAGAGAAGCUCAAAUGACUGUGGUUUGUCUCGACUGGGGUCAGCACAACAUCUGCUUUCCCAUGUAAUCAUGCAUCUAAUUUCCUUGGCUUUGAGGAUCAUAGUAAAUAGAAUUUGAAAAAAAAAGUGGGUGGAAUAAUUUGACAUUAGUUUUAUUUGGACUGAAUCCAAAU
rnacentral:lncRNA from 1 species